rnacentral:rRNA from 1 species
GAUGAACGCUGGCGGCGUGCCUAAUACAUGCAAGUCGAGCGAACAGGCGAGGAGCUUGCUCCUCUGACGUUAGCGGCGGACGGGUGAGUAACACGUGGAUAACCUACCUAUAAGACUGGGAUAACUUCGGGAAACCGGAGCUAAUACCGGAUAAUAUAUUGAACCGCAUGGUUCAAUAGUGAAAGACGGUUUUGCUGUCACUUAUAGAUGGAUCCGCGCCGCAUUAGCUAGUUGGUAAGGUAACGGCUUACCAAGGCAACGAUGCGUAGCCGACCUGAGAGGGUGAUCGGCCACACUGGAACUGAGACACGGUCCAGACUCCUACGGAAGGCAGCAGUAGGGAAUCUUCCGCAAUGGGCGAAAGCCUGACGGAGCAACGCCGCGUGAGUGAUGAAGGUCUUCGGAUCGUAAAACUCUGUUAUUAGGGAAGAACAAAUGUGUAAGUAACUAUGCACGUCUUGACGGUACCUAAUCAGAAAGCCACGGCUAACUACGUG